rnacentral:lncRNA from 1 species
GCGGCCGCUUUCCGCCUCGGACUCGAGCGCGUCGAAGACAGCAGCGCCCACCAGCAGAUGCAGAGAACCCAAAGCCCUGCAGGAUGGCAAAGCUGCAACAUGGAAGUCACCCGGAUCACCACGUAAAGGAAAUCUCUCCAACCAGGAACAAACACCUGCCUUGCAAUAUUAGGUGUCUGCCUCCUGCCCCGGUCCACAGCCAGGAGCCCCGGAGCCAACGGCCAGCCUGGAAGACUUACAGUUCUCCCUCUGAGGGUUGCUGUGGCUUUCCAUGUUGUGGUGACUAAGUCCCUGUGUUUCUGUGCAGUCCCUGCUUCCUGGGACCAGGGAAGAAUGGUCCCGUGGCCACCAGACUUUCUCUGCUUGUAUCCUCCCAGGACCACAGAACUCAUCGCAUCCCAAGGCAGCCUAUUCCAUCAUGGAUGAGCUCAAAGUGUUUGAAAGUUCUGCUUUAUCAAAACUCUUGAUGGCCUGCUUCCCAUCCUCCAUCCUGGAAGACUGAUCUGAAACCCCAGGAGGAGGUCCUCUGAGCCCUGAGGCAGAGAUCUCUCACCUGGAAGAUGGGUCUAAUGACUGCGCCCCACACACACCAGAGAGGACUGCAGAUAGUGCGGGAUGAGAGGAAGAUCUCUGGCCCUGGAGACAGCAUCAUCAAGCGAAAACGUAUGAGGAAGAAAAUAGCAGAUGAGAAGAAUCAACCAAAUUCCGGAAGCUGGAAGGCAGAUGCAAGAAGGCCCUUGAAUGAUGCCAGCACCUUGAUAUUGGACUUUCCAGCCUCCAGAACCAUGAGCCAAUACAUUUCUGUUCCAUAAAAAUUACCCAGUUCCAGGUAUUCUGCUAUAGCAGCACAAAAUGGACUAAAACAAUGUUGGCACAAGACUCAGUGCUGGGCCUGGCAUGCAACAGGUCCUUGGAGUGGCGUGCUGUGUGGAUAAUGAAUAUUGGGGAAGGCAUCUCUCUCCAGCCCCUCUCAAGCUUUCUGUAGUCACUGGUCCACUCUGUAUUGCUAUGAAGAAGCUCAAGACCAGCCUGUAUCACUCGGGGUCCUGGCAGGAACCAGGUGCCACACUCAAACUGAGUAAUUGAAGAGGGUUUAAUAUGGGAGUUAUUUACAUAGGUGUGGGCUGGUGUAGCUGCCCAUAUGCCCUCAAAAUCACCUCUACAUGGCAAUAGCUACUUACUGCUAACAGAGUCUCUCUCUCAUUGCUGCAAAUAUUUUCUAGCCAUGCAAGAAACUCAGCCGGUCAUGUUGAACAAACUAAGAGUGCCAGGAAGUUAAUGUCCUGGAAGCAUUGCCAGAGGGGAGGGGGCAGUUAGAUUCCCCAGCUUCCUCGCUCCUCUGCUGGGUUAAGCCUGCAACAUAUUCAUCAUCUCCCAGAGUGCUGCCCAGGGAUAGAGCUCCAGGUGCUCAGUGUGGUGACCUGCUCAUGUCAGCUUCUUCCCCUUUCCUGUCUUGUUUCGCACCCACAUCCUUCCCAUGUUUCCUCUUCCCAAAUAAACUACUUGCAUUGAAA